UACGUAGGGGCAAGCGUUGUCCGGAUUUAUUGGGUCGUAAAGGAGCGUGUAGGCGGCCAGGUAGGUCUGCUGUGAAACGUCGAGGCUCAACCUCGAGAUGUCGGCGGAAACCAUCUGGCUAGAGUCCGGAAGAGGAGAGUGGAAUUCCGUGGUGUAGCGGUGAAAUGCUGCAGAUAUCAGGAAGAACACCCGUGGCGAAGGCGGCUCUCUGGGAACGGUACUGACGCUGAGACGCGAAAGCGUGGGGAGCGAACAGG
rnacentral:rRNA from 1 species